rnacentral:lncRNA from 1 species
UAUUGCUGAAAUGUAAAUUUUUAAUGGCAUGUUAAUUCCUUAAGUGGAUGUUAGUUAGCAGAACGUUAGGGUCUGUUUUAAUGAAGAUUGGUGAAACCGGCCAUUAGUCUCAGAUCCGCAGGGACUCGGACCAUCGAGUGAUGAACUGAAGAGCAUUCAUCAAGCCAGAGAUGGGUGCAGCAAAACUCUGCCAAUCCUAUAGAAAUUUCUUCACUAGGGACAGCUACUACUGAGGGACAGACGGGCACAAUCCAGGGAAGCCAGGUCCACUGCAGGAUCUCUCUGUAGAAAGUCAAACUAGAUCCAAUGGCAUGCUAUCCAGAUUAAGAGUUGCCACGGCUGUCUACUUGGUGGAGCCACUUCCUUUCAACAGUCAUAGAAACACACUGACGUCCCCACACACCCACUCGCAGUAUGCAGUCGUCCCAACCAGAAAUUCGCCGUGCAACUCUAGUGAUCUCUUAGUCUAUCCCUGUCACUAUGGAUGUAUUGGUCCAGCUGUACAGAUAUGGGCAUAGUGGCAGCCAGUAAGUUCUCUCGCCAUAUCAAGGCAGGCCACUCCUCGAGAGGUACUGUAAAAUCAGCACUGUGACAGACGGUGCUGCUUUACACUAAUAGCUUGCAUCUACACAUGUCACUAUGACACGCAUAUGCUUGUACAAGCAUGUUACUUCUGCAAGUAUGCACAACUUGUGCAUGCUUGUACAAGCAUAAGCUCAGAAGAGCAAAGGACAUUAGUGGCAC